UGCCCUCCUGAUUAAAUGGAAGACAACUGAAUGAACAUUUAUCUAAUACACUGAUCCCACAUUCAUUGUUCUACCUCCCUAGUUACUGUUGCUACAAGCUAAAAUGUGUUUUUGAUAUACAGCAUGGAACAGACAACUCAAUGAGCAUUUAUCUAAUACACUCAUCCCACAUUCAUUGUUCUACCUCCCUAGUUACUGUUGCUACAUCGGACAAGCUAAACUGUGUUUUUGAUAUACAGCAUGGAACAGACACCGAGUCCUGAAAAUUGUAAAUGUCUGUCUUAGAAUCAAUGCAUUCUAAAGAGAUAACAACCUAAAAGAAUAACGAAUCAUUACAAAUUGCUUUGGCCCCCAAACCAGGGUUCAAUGGGAAUUGCUACAAGGAGAAGGAGACUAUACAAAUGAGAAGGACCAUCGAAAUCACGAGCCACUUGGCAUGGUGGACCUGAUAGGAUGUUCGCUGUGUUUACCAGGAAAAAAACAUUUAAAUUCAUUAAAUUCAUAAGACAAGGAAACAUGGUUGGCAAGCUAAAGUAAUUACAGUUGGGGUAGCAGCAAGAGCACUUGCUCUCAGCAAUGAGACAAAGGUCAAGUCCCCCCAAGCUUGGUGUUGUAUGUAGGUAGAGUUUCUAGCUUAGGGUUCUCGUCUGUGCUUCUUAUUUUCCAGGUUCUCUGUUUUCCUCCCUUCACAAAAACCAACUCCUAAAUUCCAAUUUGAUCAUGGAACAUAGGGCUACAGGAGCAUCUUUUUGUGGACUUUUGUCCUUGGCAACAUUCCCAACUUCUUUUGAAGAAGACUCACACUCUGUACCUUUACUCACUGGUGAAGUAGUGGACAAAUCUUUUGGUUCAACCCAAUGGAGAUUUUCAAUC